rnacentral:lncRNA from 1 species
UUUUUGUUGGAGAUAGCCAAGCCUCUUCAACAUGAGCUACUUGGUUAUUCCCCGACGUUAGAUUUGCCUCCUCAGACACAGCAAUAAUAGAACCUCCAUCUUCCUCAACAUCCUUGAUCAGACACAAUCUUUGCUUGCUCUUCUUCACCAGAAGCCCCAAGAGAAGGAACUAGAUCAGGAACACUUUCUUUCUCAUUCUUAUCUUCCUCAAUAUGAACCUCAACUCUCUGCUGAGCCACGCAUACUUUCUCCGAGUGACCCUAUUUCCCACACACCGUACAUCUUAGCGGGAGCCAUGGAUAAAUGAACUCCACCAAAUGCUCCUUGCCAUCUUUUGUGAAAUUUAUCUUCUUAGGAAGAUCUUUAGAGACAUCCACUUUAACAAAGAUUUUUGCUAUGUCAACAUUUGUGCAAGCCAAGGUCUCAGGGUACAAACGGACUGGAAACCCUGCUGCACUCGAGAUAAAGCUCAAACCCUCCCAAGAGUACAUACUCAAGGGUACCUUCUUCAGAUAAACCCACA